rnacentral:rRNA from 1 species
UGGUUAAGCUAGAAAGAGCGCAGGGUGGAUGCCUUGGCACUAAGAGCCGAUGAAAGACGUGAUAAGCUGCGAAAAGCUUCGGGGAGGAGCAAAUAUCCUUUGAUCCGGAGAUCUCUGAAUGGGGAAACCUACUUGAGUGUACCUCAAGUGACGUAUGGUGAAUACAUAGCCAUACGCCGGGAACCCGGUGAACUGAAACAUCUAAGUAGCCGGAGGAAGAGAAAGAAACAUCGAUUCCGAAAGUAGCGGCGAGCGAAAUUGGAAGAGCCCAAACCGGAAUGCGUGCAUUCCGGGGUUAUGGACCACGUUAUGUGACCCGUAUGGUAAUGGAACAGUCUGGGAAGUCAGACCAGAGAGGGUGAAAGUCCCGUACAUGAAACCAGAAGGGAGCUAGUGGGAUCCAGAGUACUGCGAGACACGUGGAACCUUGCAGGAAGUCGGGGGGACCACCCCCCAAGGCUAAAUACUCCUUAGUGACCGAUAGCGCAUAGUACUGUGAAGGAAAGGUGAAAAGGACCCCGGGAGGGGAGUGAAAGAGAACCUGAAACCCUGUGUUUACAAGCUGUGGAAGCACGUUAAGGUGCGACCGCGUACUUUUUGUAGAACGGUCCGGCGAGUUGCGGAUGCUGGCAAGGUUAAGCACUUUAGGUGCGGAGCCGAAGCGAGAGCAAGUCUGAAUAGGGCGUCAAGUCAGCAUGUGCAGACCCGAAACCGGGUGAUCUAUCCAUGUCCAGGUUGAAGCGAAAGUAAAAUUUCGUGGAGGACCGAACGCACAUCCGUUGAAAAGGGUGGCGAUGAGGUGUGGAUAGGGGAGAAAUUCCAAUCGAACCCGGAGAUAGCUGGUUCUCCUCGAAAUAGCUUUAGGGCUAGCCUCGUAUUAGUCUGGUGGAGGUAGAGCACUGAAUUUCCUAGGGGGCGUCAAAGCCUACCGAAGAAUAUCAAACUCCGAAUGCCAUACAGAUGAUGUACGGGAGUCAGACGGCACGAGAUAAGUUGGGUCGUCAAAAGGGAAAGAGCCCAGACCUGCAGCUAAGGUCCCAAAGUGUGUGUUAAGUGGAAAAGGAUGUGGGAUUUCAAAGACAACUAGGAUGUUGGCUCAGAAGCAGCCACACAUUCAAAGAGUGCGUAAUAGCUCACUAGUCGAGAGGUCCUGCGCCGAAAAUGUCCGGGGCUGAAACACAACACCGAAGCUCAGGAAUGUAUUUAUACAUUGGUAGAGGAGCAUUCUUAAAGGGGCGAAGCAGUACCGAUAAGGAGCUGUGGACUUUUAAGAAGAGAGAAUGCCGGAAUGAGUAGCGAGAUGGAGGUGGGAAUCCUCCAGGCCGAAUAUCUAAGGUUUCCAGGGUAAAGCUGAUCUGCCCUGGGUAAGUCGGGGCCUAAGGCAAGGCUGAGAAGCGUAGCUGAUGGACAACAGGUUUAGAUUCCUGUACCACAUGGUAUCAGAACUGUGGGGACGCAGAGGGAUAAGAUGACCGGGGGACAGAUUCCCGGGCAAGCGCAGGAGGUGUCAGGCAGGCAAAUCCG